rnacentral:rRNA from 1 species
AUUGAACGCUGGCGGCAGGCCUAACACAUGCAAGUCGAGCGGUAGCACAGAGAGCUUGCUCUCGGGUGACGAGCGGCGGACGGGUGAGUAAUGUCUGGGAAACUGCCUGAUGGAGGGGGAUAACUACUGGAAACGGUAGCUAAUACCGCAUAACGUCGCAAGACCAAAGAGGGGGACCUUCGGGCCUCUUGCCAUCAGAUGUGCCCAGAUGGGAUUAGCUAGUAGGUGGGGUAACGGCUCACCUAGGCGACGAUCCCUAGCUGGUCUGAGAGGAUGACCGGCCACACUGGAACUGAGACACGGUCCAGACUCCUACGGGAGGCAGCAGUGGGGAAUAUUGCACAAUGGGCGCAAGCCUGAUGCAGCCAUGCCGCGUGUAUGAAGAAGGCCUUCGGGUUGUAAAGUACUUUCAGCGAGGAGGAAGGUGUUGAGGUUAAUAACCUCAGCAAUUGACGUUACUCGCAGAAGAAGCACCGGCUAACUCCGUGCCAGCCGCCGCGGUAA